CACCGCGGUUAUACGAGAGACCCAAGCUGACAGAAACCGGCGUAAAGAGUGAUUAAUGUAACUAUCUACUAAAGUCGAACACCCUCCAGGCUGUUAUACGCUACUGGGGGUGAGAAGCCCAUUAACGAAAGUGACUUUAAGCUAUAUGAAUUCACGAAAGCUAUGAAA
rnacentral:rRNA from 1 species